rnacentral:rRNA from 1 species
UGAACGCUAGCGACAGGCCUAACACACUGCAAGUCGAGGGGCAGCACAAGGAGCAAUCUGAGGUGGCGACCGGCGCACGGGUGAGUAACACGUAUGCAACCUGCCUGUAAGCGGGGAAUAACCCGUUGAAAGACGGACUAAUACCGCAUAAUACUAAAUUACUGCAUGGUAAUUUAUUUAAACAUUUAUGGCUUACAGAUGGGCAUGCGCAUGAUUAGCUAGUUGGAGAGGUAACGGCUCCCCAAGGCAACGAUCAUUAGGGGUUCUGAGAGGAAGGUCCCCCCACACUGGUACUGAGACACGGACCAGACUCCUACGGGAGGCAGCAGUGAGGAAUAUUGGUCAAUGGACGAGAGUCUGAACCAGCCAAGUCGCGUGCAGGAAGAAUGUCCUAUGGAUUGUAAACUGCUUUUGCAGGGGAAUAAAGUGCAUCACGUGUGAUGUUUUGUAUGUACUCUGCGAAUAAGGAUCGGCUAACUCCGUGCCAGCCGCCGC